GCAAACUGAAUCCACCUCCAAAUUUUCAAAAUCCCAAAACUACACUUAACAUUUUGUAGAACCCUGGCCAGCGCUUGUUCUCUGAAGUCAGUGGCGUUUCUCCUCUGUUCGUUGGUGUCGUCAUCCAUCUGCAUCGUCGUCUUUGGCAGCGUGAGCGUCCGCCCUCCUUAGUCUAUGUUGCACUGCUCUGCGCCAUUAAUAGCAACUGCAUAACACAAACGUCACUAUCAAAGUCUUGGUUACCUCCAUAGCUUUGGAGGAAACUCUUCAAUUUCUCUUAAACUGAAUUCAUUGAGCUGAAGAAUUCAAGAAAGAAGAACGAAAUCGAAGAUGGGUAAUCAGAAGCCGGAAUUGAAGAAAAUUCUCAAAGAUCCCCAAUUCACACUCUUCUCACUUCACGUUCUAACAUCAACCUCAAGGAUAAGCGGCGAAAUUUGAAAGUUAGCAAUGGCACUCAAGGAUCCAAAGAAAAAUAUAGGCUUCCUAGAAUCAACCCAGUUGCUGCUGGUACUGUUAGCUCUAAAAGAUGCUAAUGAAUUUAUAGCAAGUGAAAGUAACAGUGAAGGAAGUGAUGCUAAUUCUCAUAAUUUACAUGUGGUAGUGAUUAUUUUCAACAAUAGAGGUAUAUAUGGAGAUGACCGGAGAACCCCAAAGAGAUAAAUAGACCUCAUAGAGAUGAACUUUCUUUGUUCCAAAAGCAGAUUACCAUGCUUUGAUUGAAGCUUUUGGUGGAAAGGGCUAUCUUGUUGGGACAUCUGAUAAACUCAACUCUUAUCUUUCUCGGUUUGAAAACCGGCCGUUAUCAAUGUUAUUGUUGAUCCCUAUGCUAGUUUAGAGGGUGGGAGGCUGCAACACAAGAACUGAUUUUCAAAUUAUCUGUAUUAUACUAAAACUAUAUUUUCUAUGGUUUUUAUUUUUAGAUUUCAAAUUUCAAUAACACAAAUUACAUAGCCUUGUGGUUUUCUAUGGUGUACCAUGAUAUGAUAAAGACACAAACCAUAUUCCAUGAAUCCACACAAAUGUAAAAUGUUAUGUGAUCAUAGUGAAUACUUGAAUG